AGCAGCCGCGGUAAUUCCAGCUCCAAUAGCGUAUAUUAAAGUUGUUGCAGUUAAAAAGCUCGUAGUUGAAUUUCGGGAUCAACACGUCGGUCGUGCCUUCGGUACGCACUAGCGUCGUUGGUUCCUCCCUUCUGACGAACCAUGAUGUCAUUAACUUGGUGUUUUGGGGAGUUAGGACUGUUACUUUGAAAAAAUUAGAGUGUUUAAAGCAGGCAAUCGCUUGAAUACAUUAGCAUGGAAUAAUGAAAUAGGACGUUCGAUCCUAUUUCGUUGGUUUCUAGGAUCAACGUAAUGAUUAAUAGGGAUAGUUGGGGGCAUUAGUAUUCAAUUGUCAGAGGUGAAAUUCUUGGAUUUAUUGAAGACUAACUACUGCGAAAGCAUUUGCCAAGGAUGUUUUCAUUAAUCAAGAACGAAAGUUAGGGGAUCGAAGACGAUCAGAUACCGUCGUAGUCUUAACCAUAAACUAUGCCGACUAGGGAUCGGAUGAUGUUAAUUUUUUAAUGACUCA
rnacentral:rRNA from 1 species